GCGGCGUAAGUCCUCAAGGCGCCUGCGCGUCGGGGCGGUGGCGCGGGGUGGAGGUAAGUCCUCGGGGCGCCUGGGCGGUCUGCAGCGGGGGGGGGGGGGGGGGGGGGCGGAAAUAGGGGUGAAUCUUCGCGACGCUUUCACGUUCCUGUAGAGGUCUGGAACUGCAACCUUCGGGCGCCUGCGCGUUUGUGGCCUUCUGGUCUUCGCCCGCGACCCGUGAGCAUCCGAAUUCAGGAGGCCCUACGAUUUACUAAGCGCCUGGAGUCCAGCCAUGAGCCCGGCGACGUCGACCCGCCGGACACUCCCGUGCCGGACACUCCGCAGGGUCUGCGGCCUGGGGGACUUGACGCCGCGCCCUCCAGCGGGAAGCCAUCUCCGGGCGUUUAUAUUGCAGCGCCUUUUUUUUUUUUUUUUUGGUACUGGGGAUUGGACCGGGGUGCUUUACUUUACAUCCCCAGCACUUUUUUGAUUUUUUUGACACAGGGUCUCGCUGACUUUCUGAGGUUAACCUCGAACUCAUAAUCCUCCGGGUGGCUGAGAUCCCAGUCUGCACCACCCACGCGUGGCCCAGCCUGUGUUUGAGUAAAACUCCAACCAGAUCUGCAUCCCCUAUCUCAGAAAAGAAGGAAGGAGCCCUUCCAAAGCCACAAGUUGCUGAUCAAGGGCAGGUUAGUCGUUCACUGGCCAGAGGAAGGCUGAGGAACACGAGCUCAAGCUGCCCAGGGUCAGUGUGCACAGGAAGGGAACAGUUGUUUUCCUUCAAUCUUGGAAGCCCAGAAACAAAAACUUCCAUCUGUAGCAGGAAGAGCAGAUUAACAACUUUUAGAAAGAAGAGUAUUAACCACUCCAUAGUUUGGUCAGGAGUGGAGUAUCUGUUCUGUAGACCUUUGGUUUCAUGUGGAUAGCCAUCUUGGACCAGCUCAGCUGUACCCUGCUGGAGGCAGCUGACUCACCUCUGGAAGUCACAUGGCACCCUGCCAGGCUUAUGGCCCAGGCAUUGCAUAAGCCCACUGUUGCUCAUGGGAAGUGCGGAGGCACUGCUCCCCAGUGGGGAGAGGGAUCUGUUGUCUCAUCCCAUGGCAGCUGCAUUCCUAGCCCAGGCAAGUCCCUGCCAUCCUCCCAGUGCAGCCGCGAGGGCCACUGGGUAUGGGGGUCUACCCAGGUCCAGAGUGAGUGCCCAAGAGCAGACGGAUCUGCUACAGAGAAGGGUUACAGUGACUUACACUUAUCUCUGUAUUUCUGUUUCCCAGGUUUAUAAUGAACAAUUAUAAUAACAACCAAUAUUUUGGAGAGCUGACUAGUGUCUGGCUCCACAUCAAACACUGUGUUGAUAUUCACAACUCAGUAAAUACUUCUGAUAUCACUAUUUUAUAAUGAAAGUGAUUCAGAAAAAUUAAAAGAUACCACACCCAAGAUCACAGUUAAAGUUGGUGGCAGCUUCUAAGGUGGUCUGACUGCAUGGGCCUGCACUCACUAUUGGGCCUGGCGAACCAGGGCCCACACACACCUGCCCUGUGCCUCAACCUGAACCUGAAAGGCCUGGGUGAGUCUUAGGUGUCCUGCCUGCCUGCAUUAAGCUCUGCACCAGCUAGUUCUCCCUGUGUGUGUGGCUCUUUCUGUGGGCUUGUGGAGAGAGUAGUCCCUAGGCCCAGGACUGCUGAGUCAGUACUGAUGGCUCUUCCUGCCAUUUCUCUUAUUAUUUUUUAAAAGAGAAAGAGAGAGAGAGAAUUUUUUAAAUAUUUAUUUAUUUUUAGUUUUCGGCGGACACAACAUCUUUGUUUUUUUGCAUGUGGUGCUGAGGAUUGAACCCGGGCCGCACGCUUGCCAGGCGAGCACACUACCGCUUGAGCCACAUCCCCAGCCCCUCUCUUAUUCUUAUAAUCUCCCCGAUCCAUCCAUCUUCCCUGUUCCUCACGCACUUUGUGUCCUUUCCUUGGUUCACAGACCAAGUCAGAGGGUUUUUCCUCACCCACUUUCCCUCCCCCUAGUCUGUCCCCCUGCACUCUCCCCAGCCUUGUCUUGUGACUGUAUUCAGACUUCCAAAGAUUUUCUGGUACCCUAGCCCUUCUUGCCUGUGUGUUUAGAGGGUUUGUGACUCAAAGCCUCUAAUGAAUUUGCAUGUUGUGGUGUGAGUGUAAGAAACAGGCCUAUUAAUGUUUGAAAUAAAGCCACUGCUGUUGGGCCACUGCCUGGUGGUUCACUCAGAAGCAAGGUGUUGACAGCCUCUGGGGAAAGACCCUGAGUUUUGUCCUUCCCAGCCCCUUGAGCAAGUUGUUAAUGCUCCCAGCCUCAAUUUUCUCAUCAGUAAAAUGGGGAUAAUAAUUAUUUGCAAAGACAGGCUAAUAUUAGCCUUGGGCUUCCCACGGAGUUGCUGCAAAGAUAAAAUGCAGUAAAUGUAUGUGAAAGCCAUUCAUGAGCCAGAAGCUGUUUGUAUCCAGGAAUUAUUAUGAAGAUGUCAUGAGAAAUGAGAGCCUGGGAAAGAGACUGUCAACUCUUGGUCCAGAGGCUGUGCCCCAGGUCCUGCAGGCAAGAGGUGAAUGGUGAUUUCUGCUGUCCCACCACGUCACAGGCCUUGGGCAGUCAGGACUACGUCUGAGUAUCCAGCAGGCCAGCUGCCUGGACCGUCCUUCAACCUGAGGCUCACUCCACAGCCCGCUGCCCUACUGGGUAGAGUUUUAUUUUCUCUCAGACACUUGCACCGCGUUCACUCAUUCUCGCUUCCUUGUUAACAGUUUGGCUUGCUGACCGUGGCAGUCAAGGAAGUGUCAGCCUGGCUCCUUGCACGUCUUGUCCUUGCAUAUCUGUGAGAGGCAGUCUCCUGGGGAAUGGUCUGAGUCAGGGCCUUCUUAGCUCUGUGGAUGGCUAUCCUGGCACCAGGUGCCAGGUAGCACCAGACGUUCAGUCCAUUAAGGGGAAGGCAUCACAGGGUAUGUUGAGACUGUUGGAAGGAGCUGUGAGCAGAGUGAUGGUCCCUACUCAGCUCUGUCCUUGCUCCAUGUUGACAUGGAGGAGGCCUGGGCCUGGGCCUGAUUCCGUCAAUAGCCAAAGGGCUUCAGACAAGCUGCUCCUGGAUCCUCAUUGUCUUAUCUACAAAACAGGAAUAAUAUUUUAACAUUUUUGAAAAAAGUCAGGUGCAGUGGUGCACAACUAUAAGCCCAGCAGCUCAGAGGCUGAGGCAGGAGAAUCACAAGCUGAAGGCCAGUUUCAGCAACCUAGGAAGAUUCUGUCUCAAAAAAUAAAAAGCGUUGGAGGGCUGAGGCUGUGGCUCAGUGGUAGCACAUUGGCCUGGCAUGUGUAAGACACUGGGUUUGAUUCUCAGCACCACGUAUAAAUAAAUAAAAUAAAGGUCUAUCAACAACUAAAAAAAAAAAAAAAGCGUUGGGGAUGUGCUCAGUGGUAGAUUGCCCCUGGGCUCAAUGUCCAGUACCCCCCCCCAAAAAAAAAAUUCUGAAAAAAAAAGUUGAUCUUUUGGGUCCUUUUUAAGAUCUAGGCUUCCUUUCUUGGGGCUGGGGUAGUGGCUCAGCAGUAGAGUGCUUGCCUAGCAUUGAACUGGGUUCGGUCCUCAGCACCACAUAAAAAUAAAUAAAAAUGGGGCUGGGGUUGUGGCUCACCGGUAGAGCACUCGCCUGGCACAUUUGAGGCCCUGGGUUCGAUCCUCAGUACCACAUAUCAAUAAAUAAAUGAAGGUAUUGUGUCUACUACAACGAAAAAAUAUUUAAAAAAUAAAUAAAUAAAUAAAUAAAUAAAAAUAAAGGUAUGUGUCCAACUAUAACUAAAAUAAAAAAUAAAAUAUCUAGGCUUCCUUAUUAUCAUUUUUUUUAAACUAAAAGCUUUUUGUUUUCUUUAUUUCUUUUUGGUGGUGCUGGGGAAUGAACCCAGGGCCUUGUGCAUGCAAGGCAAGCACUCUACUAACUGAGCUAUAUCUCCAGCCCCAUAGGCUUCCUUAUUAAUAUUUGAGCAAAUAACUGUUUGCUUCUUCCCUAAUGUGGCCUCAACUAAAUUUGUGAACUGUUUUUUUAGCCUGGUGCUCUCUCCCCCAACUGGCCUCUGAAAAUCUUGUAUGCUGUGAUCAUGGCGCCUGUGGUCAUGACACUGGGGUGCUCAGCUUGUUGAAGCUGGGUUGAGGUCUGUGGCCAAACGCUAGUCUGGUAUUGGGAUGCUGUCUGUAAAAUACUACUUGAGGAAUGCUUCAAUAAACAAGUUCAUGUCUGUGGAUCUCAGUAAAUCUUUUUUUUUUUUUAAGAUUUAUUUUUUAGUUAUAGGUGGACACUAAAUAGCAGCAGGCUAUGUAGUGCUAAGGGUCAAACCUAGUGCCUCACACAUGCUAGGCAAGCGCUCUACUCUGAGCCACAACCCCACCCCUCAGUAAAUCUUGUUUCUGAGUGAAAGAUGAUUCUUAGGAAACAUCUUCUCACAUCCCUUUUUGGGGGCAGGGGUGCUGGGGGUCUUUUCCAGGACCUCUGGCAUGUUAGACAAGUGCUGUGCCCCUGAGCCACAUCCCUGACCCUCCUAGCUAUCACCUAUCUGAGUCUUACUCAUCAUAUGUACAACAAGACUUUGUACACAGAUUUUGUUCUUUUUUUUAUCUUUAUUUUACUUAUUUUAUGUGGUGCUGUGGAUCGAACCCAGUGCCUCAUGCAUGCGAGACAAGCACUCAACCACUGAGUUACAACCCCAGCUCCACAGUCCUGGGUUCGAUCUUCAGC
rnacentral:lncRNA from 1 species